UUUGUAUAAUGAAAAAUGUAUUAGCUAUUCAAAUUAAUGAUACAUUAAUCAUUCUAGCAACAAGCUUUAUCUUGGGAGAGCUGAGCAAAUAUAAUCAAAGCUCACUUGGAAAUUAGAGCAAGGAAAAGUAGCAAUAACAAUUGUAUAGAGUACAUAAAUAUUUGUAAGUCUUUUUAAAUUUUAACAUGAAUAAACUUAGAACUAAAUAUUUUCAGAUUGAUAAAGUAUAUGUAUAUUAUAUAUUAUUUUAAAAAAGGUUAAACUAUACAUCUGUAGUAAAUGUUACUAUUCUGGGGUAUGGUGCAUGACUUCUGAACUGAUGUAUCCAGGGUUCUAAUUUCAAAGACAGUCAUUUUACACUUUGGCAUUUUUAGGAUGGCUCAGGGUCCACCCAACACUAAUGUUAUCAUUAGUGGGGGGAAAGUAAAGGCUAUUGGUCAUUGUGUUGGCCACAUGAUACCCUGAUAAGGUUACUACUUACUAAAUGGCACGAUUACAAUCAUUACAUGAACAGUUUGUUCUUUUCAAAGUAACAGGCCCACAUUAAUGUCAGCUAGAAGCAUACAUAUUUAAAUGUUUUUUUCAAAGUAACAUGCAUACAUUUAUGUCAGCUAGAAGCAUAAAGAUUUAAAUCUUGUGUGUAAAGUAUAUACAUUUCUAAAGCACUAUGGCAAUGUAGCACAAACAACUGUGGCUGGUAAUGUGCUGUGUGUACUUAGCUGUGAGAAGAGAACUAAACAAACAUUAUAACACUAAGUAUAUGAAUCACAUUGUGUGUGUGUUUACAAGUAUUAGCUGCCAACUAGAUGUCACAACGGGCGCAUUCAGGGGGAGAUAACAGACACCCAAAACCAAAUUACUAUUGCAGAUAUCAAAGACUGAAAACAAAGACUAUAAAUGUUUCAUGACCUGCCAGUAAAUACUAAGGCUUACAACAGGCUCAACCAACCAGGAGAGCUUCCAAAACUCAUUUUUGCUGUAGAGGUGUGCUUGUAGCCCCAUGUAGUAGGUUUGUGCUUGUA